rnacentral:rRNA from 1 species
UAAGGAAUAUUGGGCAAUGGACGCAAGCCUGAACCAGCCAUCCCGCGUGCAGGAAGACGGCCCUAUGGGUUGUAAACUGCUUUUCCAGGGGGAGAAACUUGCGCACGUGUUGCGCAAUUGACGGUACCCUGGGAAUAAGCAUCGGCUAACUCUGUGCCAGCAGCCGCGGUAAUACGGAGGAUGCAAGCGUUAUCCGGAUUCAUUGGGUUUAAAGGGUGCGCAGGCGGAAUGAUAAGUCAGUGGUGAAAUCUCUCGGCUCAACUGAGAAACUGCCAUUGAUACUGUUGUUCUUGAGUACACUUGAAGUGGGCGGAAUGUGUCAUGUAGCGGUGAAAUGCAUAGAUAUUACACAGAACGCCGAUUGCGAAGGCAGCUUACUAAUCCAUGACUGACGCUGAGGCACGAAAGCGUGGGGAUCAAACG